GGCUCGUUAGCUCAGCGGUAAGAGCGCCCAUUCAUUGUUGAUAAGAGGUGGUCGGGGGUUCAAAUCCCUCACGAGCUG